UGAAGGAUUAAAAUUGAUAGUUGGGGGUGGAACUGAGAAGUUGAUUAAAAGGGAUUAAUUUAGACUAACUUUGAUUUAUUAUUGCUUUGUUUAAAUUUGGAAAGCAUGAAUAUUGUCGGAACGUGAUAGUAUCAUGAUAGUCGGAUAGGCAAAUGUAGGUUCGGGUAAGCAAAUUUAGAACUUGUGUUUUGGUUGAAUGUUUGAAUAUGCGUGCGAAUAUUUCUUCCUAGUUUAUCGUAUUUAAUUCGAGUGUAUUCGUUUGGCUGGG
rnacentral:lncRNA from 1 species